ensembl:snoRNA
UUGGCCCUGAAUCAAAGCCAUCAGUUUACUGAAGCUGUUGCUUUCAAGUAAAGAAUUAUCUUUCUAUCAUCUGUUGGCCACUUCAGAACUUUGGAAACGUAAUGGUCAAUUCAUUAGAAAGAAACUGUA